rnacentral:lncRNA from 1 species
AGCCAACACAACUAGAAGUCGUCGAGGUUGGCCACGGAGGCAAAGCUAAGGACCGGAGAGUGAGCAUCACCCACUGGAGGCUGCGGAGAGGCAUCCUCAUAGUCCAUGCUCAAAAAGCCCUCGAUCUCCUCGGGCUCCUCCUCCUGGGCCAUCGGCUCAUCCUGCUGCAGCUCUAAGGCGUGGAUGGCAUUAAGCUCAUCGUGAUGCUCCUGCAGGUGCUCAUUGGCGUUCGCCAGCUCCAUGUUCACAUCAUAGAACUGGUCAGCCAAGAUCUCCAUAUCGUGCUCCAUAUCCACAAUCUCCUCCUCCAAACGAGUAAUCUUGUCCUGCAUCUCAGCAAUCUAGACAUCCUUCUGUACCAGCUCGAGCGACUGGUCCACCAUGCCACUCUGCAUGGUAGAUAAAGCAACCUGGUUAGCCACUGCCAUCCCGAUCACCGUAGC